UCCUGGAUCCGCCCCUGAGUCUAGUAUACUAACUGCUUCAUAAUAUUAAAUAUUAGAGUGGGGUGCUCAUUUUCGCCAUAUCUUUCCAUGUUUUCUUCAGUUUAUGUUCAGGUCUUUAUGUUUUUGAAGUGAACUGAUAUUUCUAUAUGAAGAUAACUUCAAAUGCAAAUUAUUCUAAGCUUGAAAACGUGUUUGUUUUGAGAAAAAUCAUCUGAAAAGUGUGAUUAAAGGGUGUUUGAAAUUUCCUGAUUUUU
rnacentral:lncRNA from 1 species